rnacentral:rRNA from 1 species
UACGUAGGGGGCGAGCGUUGUCCGGAUUCAUUGGGCGUAAAGAGCUCGUAGGCGGCUUGGCAAGUCGGGUGUGAAAACUCCAGGCUCAACCUGGAGACGCCACCCGAUACUGCCAUGGCUUGAGUCCGGUAGGGGACCACGGAAUUCCUGGUGUAGCGGUGAAAUGCGCAGAUAUCAGGAGGAACACCGGUGGCGAAGGCGGUGGUCUGGGCCGGUACUGACGCUGAGACGCGAAAGCGUGGGGAGCGAACAGG